rnacentral:rRNA from 1 species
GACGAACGCUGGCGGCGUGCUUAACACAUGCAAGUCGAACGGUGAUGCUCCAGCUUGCUGGAGUGGAUCAGUGGCGAACGGGUGAGUAACACGUGAGCAACCUGCCCCAGACUCUGGAAUAAGCGCUGGAAACGGCGGCUAAUACUGGAUACGAAACUGGCCCGCAUGGGCAUGGUUGGGAAAGUUUUUCGGUUUGGGAUGGGCUCGCGGCCUAUCAGCUUGUUGGUGAGGUAGUGGCUUACCAAGGCGACGACGGGUAGCCGGCCUGAGAGGGCGACCGGCCACACUGGGACUGGGACACGGCCCAAACUCCUACGGGAGGCAGCAGUGGGGAAUAUUGCACAAUGGGCGGAAGCCUGAUGCAGCGACGCCGCGUGGGGGAUGACGGCCUUCGGGUUGUAAACCUCUUUCAGCAGGGAAGAAGCGAAAGUGACGGUACCUGCAGAAGAAGCACCGGCUAACUACGUG